AAGCAAAGUUGGUUGUAGAUUCAAUCACCUUAACAACAAGCUCUAUAGCAAGUACGUUGGCAGGAUCUACAAUAAGCACAACAACAUGCUCCAUAGUAAACUUAGUUGCAAGCUCUACGGCAAAUCCUACAAUUGGCUCUGCAAUGGGUCUUGCAGCUGGUCUUGCAAUGGAUCUUGUAAUUGGUCCUAUAGUGGACUCUGCAGUAAGCUUAGUUGGAAGAUCUACAAUGGGUUCUAUUACCGGCCCUACAGCAAUCUUGACUAUGAACUGUACAACAAGCCUAUAAGGGAUCUA
rnacentral:lncRNA from 1 species